rnacentral:rRNA from 1 species
UACGGAGGGUGCAAGCGUUGUUCGGAAUCACUGGGCGUAAAGCGCGUGUAGGCGCCUCCUCAGUCUGGUGUGAAAGCCCGGGGCUCACCCCCCGGAAGUGCAUUGGAUACUGGGAGGCUGGAGUACCGGAGAGGAGGGUGGAAUUCUCGGUGUAGAGGUGAAAUUCGUAGAUAUCGAGAGGAACACCAGUGGCGAAGGCGGCUUUCUGGUCUGUAACUGACGCUGAGGCGCGAAAGCGUGGGGGAGCAAACAGG